rnacentral:antisense_RNA from 1 species
CCCAGCGCUGGGGAGAGCUGUGCAGAACAGGACUGGAGGUGGAAAUGUUGGAGAUUAACAGCCAGGUGGGGGGGACGGGGGGAGGCCCUGGGUCAGUCCUCAGGGAACCCCCAUUCUGAAGGGGGAAAGGGAAACUCAGGUCCAGUCCUCAGGGGCCCCCAGUCUGAGAGGAAGGAGGACACACGAGCCAUAUUUGCAGAGAAACACCAGCCUGCGAGAGGAGGGCUUGACCCUGGGGACUGAGAGGUGGAGAAGACACAGUCCCAUGUGUCUCACGGCAGAGACAGGUUUGGGGGCACACAUGAAGGUUUGACAUAUAGUAAACACAUGUCAUGGUGGUUUGUUGUACAGAUU